CAAUAGCGUAUAUUUAAGUUGUUGCAGUUAAAAAGCUCGUAGUUGGAUUUCUGCUGAUCGCUGUCGGUCUGCCGUCAGGUGUGUACUGGCAGUGUUUGGCAUCUAUUCGAGAUUGGGUGUCCACUUGAUUGUGUGCACUCGAUGUCGGAGCUAAUACUUUGAGAAAAUUAGAGUGUUCCACGCAGGCGCGUGCCUUGAAUACUGCAGCAUGGGAUAUUGGAAGGCCGAUUGAGCUUUCUUGUUGGUUCUCGGUUUGAUCGGAAUGAUUAAUAGGGAUAGUUGGGGGCAUUCGUAUUCAACUGUCAGAGGUGAAAUUCUUGGAUUUGUUGAAGACGGACUACUGCGAAAGCAUCUGUCAUGGAUGUUCUCAUUG
rnacentral:rRNA from 1 species